rnacentral:misc_RNA from 1 species
AGAGAGAGAGAGAGAGAGAGUUGAUGAAAAGAGUUAAAUGAUAUAAUCCAUGUAGAGUAGCAACAAAUGAAAAAGCCUAAAAGAUAUGAUUCAAGAUUGCAGGGAAGAGGACAUUAUAGUCAAUGAUUAAUAAGAAUGAAUGUUGUGAUAGUAUUUCAAACUCUGAUUUGGAUUUUUCAUAGAGAAAUCUCUGAUCAAACUUCAAGGAUAGAACAAGAUCUUUUUUGCAUCAUAUCUAGGGGACUUUUUGGGUCCGGCCAAAGAACCAUGUCACUGAUCAUUAUCAAAUUGACUAGUCUCUUUUGGAAUACUUAAUAACAAAAGUUCAAUGUUUACCUGGUUUUUCUAUUCAUAUAGGUUUCCUAUCCGUAAUCUAGCAAACAGUAUCCAACUUGUUCUUGGUGCUUGACAGACUAAUUCACGUGUGAUCUUUGGCACGUCAAAAAUGUGUAACCUGUCAUGGAAUGGAAGGUUGUCAUUUGCAAAGCUUAUUGGUUGGGUCAUGGGUGUCCAAACUAGGUGUGGAUUUUCUUUUAGAUGGGGGCUUUUAGCAGUGAUAUUCAACAUAUUCCCCUUUUAAAUUCAGUUCCAUAAAUUUCUUUUGCUAGCAGAAGUGAGGGACUUGGAUAAUCUUUGUAUGAAUGUUACAAACAGGUAGCAUGGGAUGUGUGCCAGAUUAGGAGCUUUAUUUCUUAUCUAGUUUUUCCAGUUGUGGACAGUGUGAAAAAUUAGUAGAUUGGGAGGAUAAUGUUAGGUGGACAACAGGAUGGUUCUUGUUUAAGCCCUUCUAUUAUAAGACAAGUGAGGCUCCCAAUCCUGAUGGAAAGCUUAAUUU